rnacentral:lncRNA from 1 species
CGCCGCUCCCGGUGCCCCGGCCCGGCCCGGCCCGGCCCGGCUGCCGGCGCCGCUCCUCCCCCGGCCCCGCCCCGGCGGCUUGUAAACACGGCAGUGGCUUCCGCCACGGCGCCGCGACGCCUCGCGAGAGACCGGGUCUCGCGAGACAGGGACGCUCCGGGCCCGCCCCCGCCCCAGGCGACUGUCAAGUACAGGCCUCGCGCUUGGCUCGAGCGCGGUUGUUUUCCAGCUCCCGUGCGCGCGUUCGCGCGCGGGGCGGCGGCCGCCCCUGGGACUCGGUGUGAGGGGAGCGCUGCUGUCCCUGUGGCGGUCCGGUGAAAGUGGGGUCCGGCCCGUUCCUUCAGCCCUAAGCAGGCGUCUGGUUCAGUUCUCUGUGUGACAGGGAGAGGCGGCAGUGCAGUGCGCUGUGUCUCAUCGUUCACUGAGUUGUGUCUGUGAUUGCAUUAUGUGAAAGCAUGACAGUGACAGGGGUACCAACACUGCCACGCGAACAGAUGCGAUCCUCAGACAUUGCAGGCGUCUGUGGUCUCUCUGAGGGAGCCUACGUUCCUGGUGUGCUGCAGCUCUCGGACAUCCCUGCACUAUGGGGACUGGCUCUGCAACACAGCAAUGCUGGGGGGAGUUUUCCUUCACCUCAUGUGGUUAGACAACAUUGUCUCUUCAGGCACAGUACUUCUGUAAGGAAAGAUUGUGCUUUUAUCACUAAACAGCCACCUCAAAUUGUCUGUUGUCCUUCGACAAGGGACUGUGAGAAACAACUGAAGCCCAUUGAGGCCCAAGUCUAGACCAGUUGGAUAAGAGGCUUGAUUCUUGGUGGAAGAGAACUGCCUUUUGAGAUGGAGAAAAUACUCCCAGCAGUUUUCAAAUACAUGGCGAUAUUCCUGCUUUUCAGUAAUUCAAAAUGAAAAAUGCUCAAACUGAAUCUGAAGCUAAAAUAAAAGCAUGCGGGAUUUAUUUACCCUCCCCCCC